rnacentral:pre_miRNA from 1 species
CUUGUACUCCCUCCGUCCAAAAAUACUUGUCAUUGAAAUGGAUGUAUCUAGAUGUAUUUUAGUUCUAGACACAUCCAUUUUGAUGACAAGUAAUUCUGGACAGAGGGAGUACUUG